AACGAACGCUGGCGGCAUGCCUAACACAUGCAAGUCGAACGAGACCUUCGGGUCUAGUGGCGCACGGGUGCGUAACGCGUGGGAACCUGCCCUUAGGUUCGGAAUAACUCCCCGAAAGGGGUGCUAAUACCGGAUAAUGUCUUCGGACCAAAGAUUUAUCGCCUUUGGAUGGGCCCGCGUUGGAUUAGCUAGUUGGUAGGGUAAAAGCCUACCAAGGCGACGAUCCAUAGCUGGUCUGAGAGGAUGAUCAGCCACACUGGGACUGAGACACGGCCCAGACUCCUACGGGAGGCAGCAGUGGGGAAUAUUGGACAAUGGGCGGAAGCCUGAUCCAGCAAUGACGCGUGAGUGAUGAAGGCCUUAGGGUUGUAAAGCUCUUUUACCCGGGAUGAUAAUGACAGUACCGGGAGAAUAAGCUCCGGCUAACUCCGUG
rnacentral:rRNA from 1 species